GUUCCCUGUCGGAUCGGCUUGCUACUGCUCCGCCCAACUGCAUGCAAGGCUUCAGUAUUAGCGUCGUUGCCGCUGUUUUUAAUUAUUUUGGGAUCCCCUGUUUCCCGUCCUGGAGGCGCAGAUUUUGUGAAAUCCCUCCGCUCCACUAGUCACGGAACCAGGCCGGACCAGCCCUUAAACCGCUGACAAAUUUCUAGUAAGGUAAAGACAGGGAAAGUUCAAAGAGAUAAAGAAAGAAAAUUUGCACCUGAGUUUCAGAAUAAUUAUAUUUCUGCAAGCUUUAUGAUUAGCUUUUUCUUGGUACUGCAAAAAAAAAAAAAAAAAGAGAGAGAAAAAUAAGAAAAGAAAAGAAAAGAAAAGAAAAGAAAAGAAAAGAAAAGAAAAGAAAAGAAGAGAAGAGAAGAGAAGAGAAGAGAAGAGAAGAGAAGAGAAGAGAAGAGAAGAGAAGAGAAGAGAAGAGAAGAGAAGAGAAGAGAAGAGAAGAGAAGAUAAAAGGUUAAUUUGGAAUGUGUACUCCUUUCAUUCUAAGUCAACAACAACAACAAAAUCUAUUUGAAAGGGCUAUUAAGAGGUCAUGGAGGCAAUAUUCUGCUGAAAGAGAAUUAACAGCAGUGGAACCAUAAAGCUGCUGCUCCUCCAGAGGAAGACAAGACUUUGAAAAUCACCUUGAAACUCAAUAAUAAAGAAAGGAGAGUAGGAUGCAGGCGGGCAUCCCUGCUCCCUCUUAUCUGCUGGCAAGGCCUGAAAGAUGGGAACAAAAGAGUUUCUGCUGAGAUCCCAGAGCCAGAAGCCACCACUCCAAGGAGAGCUGACUCAACCACUUUGGAUUCGAGCUAUCACUCCAAAGAGAGAUGACUCGACCACUUUGGACUUAUAAAUAAGUUUGUGCUACCAUUGAAAAGUCGUCAUUGUCAACGGAACAACAAUGCCCGACAACCCACCACUACUAAAAAUCAAUGACUGAACUAUGAACCACGUUGGACCCAUGGUGGUGACUAUCUCCCUCUUUCUUCCUCUAAAGACUCCUUGCUUCUAUUUCCUAUCUUUUCUAUCACCUUUCUUCCCUUCACCAUCUCCCUGAACGACUAGGAUUUCUAAUAAACUGGUCGGACCAACAUUUGAACCGCUCUUUCUUAAUCUCACAUCAG
ensembl:lncRNA